rnacentral:rRNA from 1 species
AUUGAACGCUGGCGGCGUGCUUAACACAUGCAAGUCGAGCGAGAAAGCUCUCUUCGGAGAGUGAGUAGAGCGGCGCACGGGUGAGUAACGCGUGGAUAAUCUGCCCUUGAGACUGGGAUAACAGUUGGAAACGACUGCUAAUACCGGAUGUGCUACAUAUUUAACUUUAUGUGGGAAAGGUGGCCUCUAUUUAUAAGCUACCGCUCUAGGAUGAGUCCGCGUCUCAUUAGCUUGUUGGUGGGGUAAUGGCCUACCAAGGCAACGAUGAGUAGCUGGUCUGAGAGGAUGAUCAGCCACACUGGGACUGAAACACGGCCCAGACUCCUACGGGAGGCAGCAGUGGGGAAUAUUGCGCAAUGGGGGAAACCCUGACGCAGCGACGCCGCGUGUAGGAAGAAGGCCUUCGGGUCGUAAACUACUGUCAAGAGGGAAGAAACUGUUUGGUCAUAAUACGGCCAAUCACUGACGGUACCUCUAGAGGAA